rnacentral:tRNA from 1 species
GCCCAGGUGGCUCAGUUGGUUAAGCGUCUGACUUUGGCUCAGAUCUCAAUCUUGCAAUUUGUGAGUUCAAGCCCUGCAUUGGGCU